rnacentral:rRNA from 1 species
CAGCCGCGGGAAAACGGAGGGAGCUAGCGUUAUUCGGAAUUACUGGGCGUAAAGCGCACGUAGGCGGCUUUGUAAGUUAGAGGUGAAAGCCUGGAGCUCAACUCCAGAAUUGCCUUUAAGACUGCAUCGCUUGAAUCCAGGAGAGGUGAGUGGAAUUCCGAGUGUAGAGGUGAAAUUCGUAGAUAUUCGGAAGAACACCAGUGGCGAGGGCGGCUCACUGGACUGGUAUUGACGCUGAGGUGCGAAAGCGUGGGGAGCAAACAGGAUUAGAUACCCGAGUAGUCCCUGUCUCUUAUACACA